GUGCUCAACCUUCAUCCCAAAAAUCAAAUGCUAACAAUAAUUUUAAGUCAUAAAACUAAAAUCAAUAAAAAAAGUGUGUUAAAAUGGACCAGUUAGAAUAAGUAAUUAAAAUAAAAUAUUAAUAUUAAAAAAUACGAAAAUAAAAAUUAUAUAAAAUUAAGUAAAACGUUAAGAAAAGUGAAAAAUAUUUUUGGGUAAUUUUAUGGAUGAAGAAAAUAUUUUAAA
rnacentral:lncRNA from 1 species